rnacentral:rRNA from 1 species
AGUGAACGCUGGCGGUAGGCCUAACACAUGCAAGUCGAACGGCAGCACAGUAAGAGCUUGCUCUUACGGGUGGCGAGUGGCGGACGGGUGAGGAAUACAUCGGAAUCUACUUUUUCGUGGGGGAUAACGUAGGGAAACUUACGCUAAUACCGCAUACGACCUACGGGUGAAAGCAGGGGAUCUUCGGACCUUGCGCGAUUGAAUGAGCCGAUGUCGGAUUAGCUAGUUGGCGGGGUAAAGGCCCACCAAGGCGACGAUCCGUAGCUGGUCUGAGAGGAUGAUCAGCCACACUGGAACUGAGACACGGUCCAGACUCCUACGGGAGGCAGCAGUCGGGAAUAUUGGGCAAUGGGCGCAAGCCUGAUCCAGCCAUACCGCGUGAGUGAAGAAGGCCUUCUGGUUGUAAAGCCCUUUUGUUGGGAAAGAAAAGCAGCAGGUUAAUACCCCGCUGUUCUGACGGUACCGAAAGAAUAAGCACCGGCUAACUUCGUG